AGUUAUGUAAUGGAAUUGAAUGAAGCAAGUGUCAGAUCUACAUCUCUACAAACACUCACUUUAUCAGUUCAGAGAAUAAAGAGAUGAAUUUAAUAAUGCCACUGGACACUUAUACUCUAUCGGAUCCUAAUAAUUUCUCACACUAAUGAAUUCUUCUAUCAACUUCAUGUUAAUCAAGAGGAGACAGAGCCAAGAAGUGAGUAAUUGCUUACUGAAUUGUGAAAGCUGGGAUGAUUUAACUACAGCCUCCCUAGAAUGUGACAGUCCACAGAAAUAUCUGAUUUCAAAGAGAUGCUUGCAUUCUGUACUGAUGCCAUCUAGAAUUGUAAAUGACCAGUGUCACACUGCUAAGUGGAGAAAGCGUGAAAGAAGAAUCCCAUCAGUACAUUCACGAUAGAGGAAAUAAGAAACAAUGAAAGCCACAAGUAAGUCCUGAGUUGAUCAACAGUAUUGCACUUCUCCAGGUUUACUCGAAGGCAGCAAAAUUGGCCCUACUCCCAACCCUGCAACAUGCACCAUUUCCAUAAACAAUCUACAGAGAUGGCUGAGAAAAAGAAAAAGGGGUACUCUCCUUUACCCCUUCUCCAAAGCCCGAUGAAGUAAAGAGUAGAAAUCAAGAGUGUCUACAAGAAUUGGGGAUUGGCAUUGAUUCUCCACUGUGUGAUUACUCAUGCUUUAUGGCAAUGUGCCUAUUUAAAGGGCAGGUAAUGACUUAGCAAGAAGGAAGGAGAGAGAAUGUCAAACUCACCUGAAGUCUUACCAAUUGGUGUGGCAGCAGUGCACUCAAAGUCUCCAAAGAAAUUUGCAGAGAAUUUCUUCCAGUAGCCCCAAGAGUUCUCAGCAUAAGUACUGGAAAAACUCACUAGCAUGGAGGAUGCUUCUCUCCAGUGGAAUCAACAGUGGCCUCUGCUGAUUCAGAGACUUCAGUGUUCCACAGUGAAACUAGAUUGUGAUGAGAGCAAAUAUGGCUGGAAGGCAACACUGCUCAGGUGGUUAGAGCGUGAGUUCUGUAGUAUCAAGGAGCUUUUUUCUCAGUGUGUCUGUCAGUGGAGAAUUUGGGGGAAAGAUCAAAUCAAAUUGCUAAAUAAAACAUAAAGCCCCACAGAGAUGGAAGCCAGCAAUAUGUGUAUGCUGUGGUUUGGGUGCCCCCUUUACCUUCCAGAAUGUCUUUGAACUGCAUGUUGAGCUGGUUUCACCUGGGUGAAAACAUGAGGGAAAAGGAAGUAAGGGAAGGAUGGACAGAUAGUGGUAGAGACUGAUGACCACUUCAAGUAAGUGUGCUAUCAGGAGAAUAACUCUCCCAUGUCUUCAUAGGAGUCAGUGAACAGUCACCUGUUGUAUAGAAUCACCCAUGGGCAGUCACUGGUUACCAGCAGCAGCACCAACCAACCACCUGAGAAUUACACCAAUGGUCAGUUAGGCAAAGAGACAUCUGCCUCCCUCUCCUCUUCCCCAACACUUAGAUUUUACUUAUCACUGAUUCUUGCAUAGAAAUGGUUCUGACUGGUGAAAACAAAGAGAAAAAUAUGUUGAAGGAAGUACCUAUGAACCUAAUUAUUAUUUUACUCAUUUUUUUCUCCAAAGUCUAUUGAUAAAUAAUGUUUUCAGUGUCAACUUUGACUUUAUUUUCAAUAUACAAAGUCAAACUAAAAACUUUCGUAUUUCAGGUUGAAAUUUAUAGUGUAACUCUUUACUUUUAAUGGCUUCCAGUUGUUCUAUUUUGGUUUCUGGCAGAAAUCCUUUUGGUAUGUUACAUAGAAAUAUAGAUAGAUAAAGGAAAGCCAAUUAUCUUUUCUUUACAGAGAAAUAUCCUGAAUGCUGUAAGUUGAGGGGAAUGGCAGGGUAUGUACUGGUAUGACUGGCCAAUACAGAAUCUAGUCUAGCUGAGAUAUGGCUUUUAGUAGGAAGCCUCAUAGGGAACAUGAUGGAGGAAAAUCCUUUCAUUUAUGGUAUCAAGAGAUUUUCAUUUUAAUCCCAGCUAUAUUUUACAUCAAUGUUGUCAUGCAUUCUAUCUUCUCUGGGCUUGAGAUAUACAAGAUGAGGAUGCUGAUUUAGCAGAAGUUCAAGCAUCCUUUCCAAGGUGAACAUCUAUGACCACUCAGUGUUGAGAAUUACUUCAGACUAUUAUUAACACUAUUAUUAACCAAAGGAAGGACCCCCCUGAUUACUGAUCAGUUCUCCAGUCCAUUGGGAAAUCCUUCUAAAGGCCAUUUCAUUUCAGACUGAAAUGUACAAAUGUAUAAAGAGUGGAAAAGACAUCAAAACUAAAAAUACUAUGUUAAACUU
ensembl:lncRNA LINC02822 long intergenic non-protein coding RNA 2822